CGUGAAGGAUGAAGGCCUUCGGGUCGUAAACUUCUGUCGAGAGGGAAGAAUUGCGUACGGUCAAUAUCCGUGCGUUUGACGGUACCUCCAAAGGAAGCACCGGCUAACUCCGUGCCAGCAGCCGCGGUAAUACGGAGGGUGCAAGCGUUGUUCGGAUUUAUUGGGCGUAAAGCGAGUGUAGGCGGUUUGAAAAGUCGGGUGUGAAAGCCCAGGGCCCAACCCUGGAAUUGCAUCCGAUACUGUCAGGCUAGAGUCCCGGAGAGGAUGGCGGAAUUCCCGGUGUAGGGGUGAAAUCCGUAGAUAUCGGGAGGAACACCAGUGGCGAAGGCGGCCAUCUGGACGGUGACUGACGCUCAGACUCGAAAGCGUGGGUAGCAAACAGGAUUAGAUACCCUGGUAGUCCACGCCGUAAACGGUGAGAGCUCGUCGUAGUGGGUAUUGACCCCUGCUGUGACCAAGUUAACGC
rnacentral:rRNA from 1 species